AGAACGAUGUAAUAAAUUUCAGAGGACACUCUGACUCUGAGUUUCCAUCCAGCUGUGUGUCCCUGAAGAGUGACGGGUCCAGAGUGCAACCCAUUUCAUUUCAACCUGGAGCAGGAAGUGCUGAUGAGGGCGUCAGCCAGCAGAGCUCCCAGGUUCUCCGUGGAGGCUCCGCCCCUCUGCAUCAAACACAUCUGGACUCCAUCUUUAUGGUGAGAACAAGUCUCCAUUCAACACUUUACUGUCUCA